UACGAAGGGGGCUAGCGUUGCUCGGAAUCACUGGGCGUAAAGCGCACGUAGGCGGAUUGUUAAGUCAGGGGUGAAAUCCUGGAGCUCAACUCCAGAACUGCCUUUGAUACUGGCGAUCUUGAGUCCGGGAGAGGUGAGUGGAACUGCGAGUGUAGAGGUGAAAUUCGUAGAUAUUCGCAAGAACACCAGUGGCGAAGGCGGCUCACUGGCCCGGUACUGACGCUGAGGUGCGAAAGCGUGGGGAGCAAAAGGG
rnacentral:rRNA from 1 species